GCGGGUGCUGAUGGUAAGCCUUUGCGCAUGGUGAAGACACUUUUACAUGAGCUAGUGAAACUCCGUGGCACUGCAAUCAAAGGUCACCUUUCGUUGGUGCCCAUUGAUGUGGAGCCCCAACCUAUCUUUCUGGCUUAUUAAGACCCCAACCUCUAGAUCUUGGGAACAUCGGGACAAACGCAAUGCUCUCCAAGUAAUAGAAGCACGUCACCGUCGAAUCAAUCUACCGAGGCACAGCUGAAACAAGAGCUUGCUGCAGUGUUCAAGAAAAUUGGUGACAAGCAGACAUGCACAAUUGGACUUUAUGGGUCUACCGCAUCACACAGCUAUAUCCACAGUGAUCAAGCGCAAGCCAUGAGUCGCUUCUUCCUCUCAAUGUUUCUUUCUGAAGAAGCUCAUUGAUUCUCGUCCACGGAUUUCAUCUCAUCUCAUGAAGGGUAGUAUUCACCAAUCUUGAAAACUCAUCUUGCUCAAACCAGUCCGGUUAAUAAAAUGUGAGUUCAAAAGUACCAACAACUCGAGCCUACCUCAACCUCAAGGUUUGUUGAUGUAUUUUUCGGCAUAGUCCAAAUUCCACCUGUUGCGAUGUUCCAACGACACGACUAAUAUGUUAUACAAUUGUCCUCUAGACUAAGAGUCUCCUACAUCUUUAGAUUCUUGCUACAUUGUGUAUAUCUCGGCUUUCAUCCUCUAAGCAUUGCUCUCGGUGCUUCCUGAUUGCAGCGAAACACUAUAAACAUGCAGAUCCCUAUUAGGUUUGGAAACAUUAUCGGGUCUGACAUAUGUGAAAUACGAAAAGACGUUCAGAUGUUAAAAGAUCCAAACAAUGAGACACUUCUCCGCUCCAACUGCAAAAACAACUAUAUAUGACGGAUAAAAUGCCUUUCUGGAUUGUCACAAUGGUGCACGGAUUUAGAUCCAUCCUAACGCUUGGGUUUAGGCACAUGCUCGGUUAUAGGCUUAUCUACCUUAUUUGGUCCGGUCCUUUAAUUUCUUUCUUUGACAACAUUUUUGGAGGUUGUCCCAUAUCUUUUGUCUAGAAGUCGCGGGCGGGUAUAUAAAUUUGAACAAGACCGCUCCUCUAGAAUGCGGCGUGUACUGAGAACGAUGAGAGUACCAAAGCGAUCAGAUACGUGUUUGCCUGUAA